UAGCUACCAAAUGUGAAAACUCUGAAGAAAUUACAGGAUCUGUAGAUCUAAUAGACAGUGUAUGUUGUUGAUAUUGACUUUAGCAAGUUUUCAGUCACUGUCUCCAACAGUAUUCUUUGUAUCUAGGCUGGAUGUGUGUAAUACUCAAUGAGUGAAAACCUGGCUGGACCACUGACUGGGUUGAGGGAAAGUACUCAGUGGCUGGCUACAAGCAGACUUCUGCAGAAGUCUCUCCUGAGUCAUCUUCCUGUUCAGCUGUUUAAUAUCAAAGACCUGGCUGAAGUGAUGGAAUGUGCUCUCAUUAAGUUCAGCUGUACUGAGUAUACUUGAGGUGAAGGCAACUACUCAGAGGCACCUCUGUAGGCUGGAGAAAGGCUGGGAAAUUUGGCAAUGACGUGCAAAAUCCAGUACCUAAGCUGAGGAGGACCUGGAGGUUCUGGCUGACAGUAGGCUAAACGUGAGCCAGUGAAAGAAUUACACUGCAGCAGCUACCAGUAUCAUGAAUGUCACCACAGCUACAGCCUAGCUUCAUUCUUUCUCUAUUUUCAUCUUGAUUGUCAUUUUGAAGCUUGUGAAAAUUGCUCUGGGAUACAAGAAAAAUGUACCUAGAAGUAAGUGUUCAUUUACUAGUAUGAUUCACUGCUGCGUACAGGAAACAGGAGAGACUGUUGUAACUGUGGCAUAAAGUUGACAGUGUACAGAAAUUAACUCAGGGUGUGUAAAUGACUAUGAAGGAACCAUGGUUAGCUCUGA